rnacentral:rRNA from 1 species
AGAGUUUGAUCAUGGCUCAGGACGAACACUGGCGGCGUGCUUAACACAUGCAAGUCGAACGGAAAGGCCCUUCGGGGUACUCGAGUGGCGAACGGGUGAGUAACACGUGGGUGAUCUGCCCUGCACUUUGGGAUAAGCCUGGGAAACUGGGCCUAAUACCGAAUAUGACCAUGCACUUCCUGGUGUGUGGUGGAAAGCUUUUGCGGUGUGGGAUGGGCCCGCGGCCUAUCAGCUUGUUGGUGGGGUAAUGGCCUACCAAGGCGACGACGGGUAGCCGGCCUGAGAGGGUGACCGGCCACACUGGGACUGAGAUACGGCCCAGACUCCUACGGGAGGCAGCAGUGGGGAAUAUUGCACAAUGGGCGCAAGCCUGAUGCAGCGACGCCGCGUGAGGGAUGACGGCCUUCGGGUUGUAAACCUCUUUCAGCACAGACGAAGCGCAAGUGACGGUAUGUGCAGAAGAAGGACCGGCCAACUACGUGCCAGCAGCCGCGGUAAUACGUAGGGUCCGAGCGUUGUCCGGAAUUACUGGGCGUAAAGAGCUCGUAGGUGGUUUGUCGCGUUGUUCGUGAAAACUCACAGCUUAACUGUGGGCGUGCGGGCGAUACGGGCAGACUUGAGUACUGCAGGGGAGACUGGAAUUCCUGGUGUAGCGGUGGAAUGCGCAGAUAUCAGGAGGAACACCGGUGGCGAAGGCGGGUCUCUGGGCAGUAACUGACGCUGAGGAGCGAAAGCGUGGGGAGCGAACAGGAUUAGAUACCCUGGUAGUCC